GAGAAGAGCCGCUUCCAGGCAGAGGAAACAGCUGCCCGUAGACCCAGGAGAGCAGUGUGUGGGAGCUGCCUAGGCUCCUUGCCCUGAAGCUGAGCUGUCAGAUGGGUGAUUAGUUCCAAGAGGGUGUGGAAGACCUUCCCUGUGUUUCUGUAUCACGGCUUUUGCAUUUAUUACAGGCACACGGAGUACUUCUUUCUUCUCCUGUCCCUCUGCCAGCUUUUAUAGGAACUGCUCGGUAGUGGACCUUCAAAGACCUUAUCACAGAUUGAACAUAAUGAAGAAUCAUAGUCUUGCAGGAAUAUGGGGACAAGAGAGGAUGGUCACGUCCCCAGUCUCGGUGAAGGGAACCUCUUUCAAUCCAGCAAAGACCCUGUGAAGAUGUGUCUGUGAACCAGUUCACGUGAUCCUUUCUUGGGUUGAGAGAGCCCUGACUGCCCCAAGAUAUAACUCUGUCCUUAGA
ensembl:lncRNA